GAUGAAGAACGCAGCGAAAUGCGAUAAGUAAUGUGAAUUGCAGAAUUCAGUGAAUCAUCGAAUCUUUGAACGCACAUUGCGCCCGCCAGUAUUCUGGCGGGCAUGCCUGUUCGAGCGUCAUUUCAACCAUCAAGCCCCAGGCUUGUGUUUGAGCCCUGCGGCUGCCGCAGCCUCCCAAAACCAGUGGCGGGCUCGCUAUCACACCGAGUGCAGUAGUUUACUCUUCGCUCAGGGCGUGUGGCGGGUGCUAGCCGUAAAACCCCCAACUUCUCAAGGUUGACCUCGGAUCAGGUAGGAAUACCCGCUGAACUUAAGCAUAUCAAUAAGCGGAGGA
rnacentral:misc_RNA from 1 species